rnacentral:rRNA from 1 species
AGUGAACGCUGGCGGUAGGCCUAACACAUGCAAGUCGAACGGCCGCACAGUAAGAGCUUGCUCUUACGGGUGGCGAGUGGCGGACGGGUGAGGAAUACAUCGGAAUCUACUUUUACGUGGGGGAUAACGUAGGGACACUUCCGCUAAUACCGCAUACGAUCUACGGGUGAAAGCAGGGGUUCUUCGGACCUUGCGCGAUUCAAUGAGCUGAUGCCGGAUUAGCUAGUUGGCGGGGUAAAGGCCCACCAAGGCGACGAUCCGUAGCUGGUCUGAGAGGAUGAUCAGCCACACUGGAACUGAGACACGGUCCAGACUCCUACGGGAGGCAGCAGUGGGGAAUAUUGGACAAUGGGCGCAAGCCUGAUCCAGCCAUGCCGCGUGGGUGAAGAAGGCCUUCGGGUUGUAAAGCCCUUUUGUUGGGAAAGAAAAGCAGCAGGUUAAUACCCCGCUGUUCUGACGGUACCCAAAGAAUAAGCACCGGCUAACUUCGUG